rnacentral:tRNA from 3 species
GGAGGUGUGGCUGAGCGGUCUAAAGCAGCGCACUGCUAAUGCGUUGACCCUCAAAAGGGGUCCGGAGGUUCGAAUCCUCCCACCUCCGCCC